CCAAUAGCGUAUAUUAAAGUUGUUGCAGUUAAAAAGCUCGUAGUUGAACUUCGGGGUUUACCCAUUGGUCAGGCUUAAUUGUCUGUACUGGUGAGAUAAAUCUCUACCUUCUGAGGAACUUUCAUGUCAUUAAUUUGGUGUGAUUGGAAAUCAGGACUGUUACUUUGAAAAAAUUAGAGUGUUUAAAGCAGGCUAACGUCUGAAUACAUUAGCAUGGAAUAAUGAAAUAGGACGGACUGAUUCUAUUUCGUUAGUUUCUAGGAUCACCGUAAUGAUUAAUAGGGAUAGUUGGGGGCAUUAGUAUUCAAUUGUCAGAGGUGAAAUUCUUGGAUUUAUUGAAGACUAACUACUGCGAAAGCAUUUGCCAAGGAUGUUUUCAUUAAUCAAGAACGAAAGUUAGGGGAUCGAAGACGAUCAGAUACCGUCGUAGUCUUAACCAUAAACUAUGCCGACUAGGGAUCGGACGAAGUUAAUUUUAUAAUGACGCGUUCGGCACCUUACG
rnacentral:rRNA from 1 species